rnacentral:rRNA from 1 species
CCUUAGUAAUGGCGAAUGACCAGGGAAUGGCUCAGCGUGAAAUCAAGGCCACCGGCCUUGACGUGUAGUCUGAAGAAGUAUUGCCAAUGGAGGCGCAGAUGAAAGUCUCUUGGAAAAGAGCAUCACUGAGGGUGAGAGUCCUGCUGCAACGUCUGCAGACCCCCAUGCACGGUGUACAUUCGCAGAGUCACGUUCCUUGGCAUUGGAGCGCAAAGGUGGUGGUAAAUUUCAUCUAAAGCUGAAUAUUGGUUUGAGACCGAUAGUGAAGAAGUACCAUGAGGGAAAGGUGAAAAGGACUUUGAAAAGAGAGUUAAAAGUGCAUGAAAUUGUUGAAAAGGAAGCGGAUGGAAUCAGUCUUGCUAGUCAAGAUUGCCAUGUGCACGCUGAUGUGCAGCUGCUGCAGCGAAAGUGCAACAACCUGUAUUGAUAUUGUUGCGUAUGGUGGCUCUUGCAUUGCUUGUCAAGACCAAUUCGUGAUUGGGGAAAACUCCGACAGGGAUGAAAUGUCACCUGUGGGAGAUUGAAUACCUGUGGAGGGACUGAUUUGCGAAUUGUGCUUUGAAUGUUUGGUUGUAGGAAAGGCAUGCCUUGAUGUGCCACCUUCCAAACAUGAGUAGUGAUGACAAAAUGGUUUCAUCCGACCCGUCUUGAAACACGGACCAAGGAGUCUAACAUAUGUGCAAGUUCCUGAGUUACGAACCUUGGCUGCAUAAUGAAAGUGACAGCUGGGAUACAUGCACCAGCAGCCGACCGAUCAAAUGAGAUCGGUUUGAGUAUGAGCAUAUCUGUUAGGACCCGAAAGAUGGUGAACUAUGCCUGAGAAGGGUGAACUCAGGGGAAACUCUGAUGGAGGCUCGUAGCGAUACUGACGUGCAAAUCGUUCGUCAUACUUGGGUAUAGGGGCGAAAGACUAAUCGAACCAUCUAGUAGCUGGUUCCCUCCGAAGUUUCCCUCAGGAUAGCUGGAGUUGAACAGUUUUGUCAGGUAAAGCGAAUGACUAGAGGAAUCGGGGGCGCAUCGUCUUCGACCUAUUCUCAAACUUUAAAUGGGCAAGAUCCAGUGGUUACUUGAGAGAACCUCUGGGAUAAAUGACAAUUCUAAGUGGGCCGUUUUUGGUAAGCAGAACUGGCGAUGAGGGAUGAACCUGACGCAGUGUUAAGGUGUUUAACUGCUCGCUCAUCAGAUACCAUAAAGGGUGUUGGUUCAUUUUAACAGCAGGACGGUGGUCAUGGAAGUCGAAAUCCGCUAAGGAGUGUGUAACAACUCACCUGCCGAAUGGACUAGCCCCGAAAAUGGAUGGCGCUCAAGCGGGUGACCGAUACAUUGCCAUUGUUGCCAAUAUGCUGCGACAAUGAGUAGGAGGGCAUGGGGGCU